rnacentral:rRNA from 1 species
GAUGAACGCUAGCUACAGGCUUAACACAUGCAAGUCGAGGGGAAACGACAUUGAAGCUUGCUUCGAUGGUCGUCGACCGGCGCACGGGUGAGUAACGCGUAUCCAACCUGCCUCUGACCAAGGGAUAACCCGUCGAAAGUCGGCCUAAUACCUUAUGCAGUCGUCGGAAGUCAUCUGAUGACGACGAAAGAUUUCAUCGGUGAGAGAUGGGGAUGCGUCUGAUUAGCUUGUUGGCGGGGUAACGGCCCACCAAGGCAACGAUCAGUAGGGGUUCUGAGAGGAAGGUCCCCCACAUUGGAACUGAGACACGGUCCAAACUCCUACGGGAGGCAGCAGUGAGGAAUAUUGGUCAAUGGGCGAGAGCCUGAACCAGCCAAGUAGCGUGCAAGAGGACGGCCCUAUGGGUUGUAAACUGCUUUUAUGCGGGGAUAAAGUGAGGGACGUGUCCUUCAUUGCAGGUACCGCAUGAAUAAGGACCGGCUAAUUCCGUG